rnacentral:rRNA from 1 species
CCUACGGGUGGCUGCAGUGGGGAAUAUUGGACAAUGGGGGCAACCCUGAUCCAGCCAUGCCGCGUGUGUGAAGAAGGCCCUCGGGUUGUAAAGCACUUUCAGUGAGGAAGAACGCCUGGUGGUUAAUACCCAUCAGGAAAGACAUCACUCACAGAAGAAGCACCGGCUAACUCCGUGCCAGCAGCCGCGGUAAUACGGAGGGUGCGAGCGUUAAUCGGAAUUACUGGGCGUAAAGCGCGCGUAGGUGGCUUGAUAAGCCGGUUGUGAAAGCCCCGGGCUCAACCUGGGAACGGCAUCCGGAACUGUCAAGCUAGAGUGCAGGAGAGGAAGGUAGAAUUCCCGGUGUAGCGGUGAAAUGCGUAGAGAUCGGGAGGAAUACCAGUGGCGAAGGCGGCCUUCUGGACUGACACUGCCACUGAGGUGCGAAAGCGUGGGUAGCAAACAGGAUUAGAUACCCGAGUAGUC